AUGCUGGGCGCCCCCUCUGCAGACAGCCAGUCCAGGAGAUGGACAAAGGUCAAGGGGCAGCCGACCAGACUGCACUGGGGUCCCCCAGUUCUGAGCUGUGCUAUGCAAAGAAGAAUGCCCCUGAGUGUCUGCGACAUGGUGUCAGAAGGACGGCUACUGAGGCUGGUGGAGGGACUGGGCAUCGCUGUUGUUUGGGGAAGUCCAUCCUCCAGUCCUGAGGGUGUGAGUGGAUUGGUCUAAGUGUGAAUAUAACCAGCAGCCAGGGCAGCAUGAACUCCUUUUGCUGAAAUUUCCAGGCCUCCUUGGGUUCCCUGAACCCUGGGCUGGCGUUCCCAGGACCCAGCACCAGAAGACCCUAGUCCCACCAGCCCCGCCGCACUACCCAGGAGGGCUGGGCAACGCCGGUGCUGGCUCCCCUCCUCCCCCGCAGCCUCAAAUCACUGCCAAGCCCCCGUUCCUUUUGCCCAAAUCACGCAGGCUGAAGCUGCAGUGCCAGCUGGAGAGACAUUUGUGGGGCUUCCCAUGCCAUCCCUGUUUCCAGACAGCUGGACAGCUUCCCCUUUACCCCAUGCCAGUGAGCCCCUGCGGGCCAGAGAAAGAUGGGGUUCCUGCACCUUCCCAGCUCCACCUCUGACUUGAGUUAGCAUUAGCUAAGCAUACAAUCAGUGUUGAACCUCUCUCUUCCUUAGCUUGUAGAUACGACUGUCUGUAAUCAGGGGACCCGCUGGAGGCCGGGCGGCCGAUGCUGGCAGAGCACCCGGGCGUGGUUUGGUUCCUUUAGGCAAUUUUUGUUCUGCCAAUGGGGGAACCUAUGUUGCCAGGUGUAGAGGCAGGAGCGCCUGGCCUUGGUCGGCGGGCAGCCCCCAGCCAGGGCCACAGUGCUCUUCAGGGCCUGGGCAGCCCCAGCUUCUGGCCCAGGAGGUGUCUCUUUCUAGUCUUUCGGCACAUCCAAAAUGGAGGCCUCCACCUGUGGGAACAGCAUGAGCUCCACUGGGGCUCUGCCCCUCCUCAGCCUCUGGCCCUGCCCCGUGGUUAAGACCAUGCCUUUUCUGAACAGCUUUGGCCUUGAGUCAGAGCGACAGCCAACAAUGGUCCAGUGCUCAGAUGCCUCAGUUUCCCUUGCAUGAGCACCCGCCGACACAUGGUCCACUGAGAUUAUGGUUCUGUUCUCUCCAAAGCAAAAAGCCGGGUGAGGGGAAGUCUCAAUUUCUGCCAGUGCUCAAAGGAGUAACACCAAAAGAAUCAACACACAAUCUCCUGGACGCAGAGCAGUACGUGACCCAGCUCCAGGCACCGUGGGUCCGUGGGAGGAACAGCACCGCGCCGCAGGCCCAGCGGGGACCAGCUCUCUGUACAAUUGGAACGUGUUUUCCUUUUCUUUUCUCUCCUUUCUUCAUUCUCCUUUUUUUUUUUUUUUGCAUGUUUCUUUUUGAAAAUGGAGAAAAUGUGUAGCAGCCCGCAUGACCACGGUUGUUUUGGGGAAAGAUACUGGGGUAUGACGUACUCACACUUGCAGCUCUGAGCAUCGAGAGGUCAAACCUUCCACCUUUUUUUGUAAUCGUCAACAGCACAACUAUUUUGUAUUGUUGUUUGUAUCAUUUUGUACCAAAAAAAAAAAAAAGGAAAAAAAAAGGGGAGAGAAUUGAUGUUUCUGUUUCUAGUGCCAGACAGUCUUGGUCCUAACUGAUUAGAGCCUUGCGGAGCGGCUGUGCACGGGUGGGCGGGGGCGCUGCUCCAGAGACUAAAUAAAGUCCCCCUUUU